AUCCUUAAACCAAAGAUUCCCCAGAAAAUAAUCAAAAUAAAGGGGCAAUCCUACAGGACCCGAAGCCAAAAUGAAAAGAAAUUGUCUCCUACUUCAAAAAUCCAACACUUUUCACAAAGGAACAGUUCCUUCAUCCUGGAACUGAACGACAAGUAUAUAAAAGAAUAAACAGAUGAAAGCGAAAAAAGAAGAUAACAUGCUUUCCAUCUGUUACCAAACAGGGACAUGAUGGGCAAAUUCUCAAUCGGUAAAAAGAGACAACCAGCAUAACGAUAAUUAUUCCUAAUUCGACCCAAGGUCAAGAAUGGAUCAUUCCGGUCAUAAACAAACGAAAACCAAAACACACGAUUCGCCAAGAAAGCUUACCUGUUACCACUAGAUCAAAAUGGUGAUUUGAGAAGAGUAAUGGAACACGUCCGUACGAAAGACGUUUGGAGAUUUUUGUCCUCAUCCCAGCUUGUGGUCCCUCUUCGUUUCAAGCUUAACCCUUUACUGUUUGUAACAGGGAAAUACAUUGUGUCAUGCUGAGUAUAGCAUAACUUGAUCAAAUGGUCAAUCAGGCUAUCAAAUUGAAUAAAUAACUGUUGGCAUUACUUCCUGAGUUGAAACCAUUAUGUGUAGCUUGUAUGAUUACAACUACUGCUUCAUGCCUUAAAGGAACAAUAAAUUUUGAAACUGCAACCAUAAUCCAUAGGCCUUGUUGUGGAUACUCUAUGAGAACAGAGGUAAUGAUAUCUUUGACUAUUCGAACAACGUCUACAUUUUGAUGGCAAAUUCUUGAAACCAAUUGAGGUAGCAUGGACAACCAAUGGUGUGGUGGUAAACCCCUCAAACAGCCUCUCAUAACACUCAGUGCCUCCUUAUGUACAUCCUCUAAAUCCUUUUGUGACGAACCACUUCUUAGAUACUUGCUUCCAAAGUUAAACCAGAGGGCUAAUAACCUUGGAAAUGCCCGAAAUAGGUUCUUGUUUCCUUUGUGAAGUCCUCUUGCAUAAAAUAACAGCACGCCGGGAAUAUAACACCACCAACGUUUCUGAUUAUUUAAUUUUGAAAAGCCAACAACAUUAUUUGCCAAAGGAACUCGUCUAGGGCCAAGUUCAGAAUUCUCCUCUUUGCAGGUUUCCUGUCAUCACCAAGCACUUCAUGAUAAUACUUAGCCAUGUACAAGUAUCCUUCUUCCCAUUGAGGUUGCAGUUCCCUCACCCUGGUGUAAAGACUUAUUAAAUCUUCCUUCUGUUUAUGCCCAGUGUAAUGAGUCCAUCUUGAGUACAGAAGAAAGGUCUUUCCAAUGUCUCUGUUCUCAUUUGGAGCAUGAUGUGAUUGUAGUGGUUUGGUAGCAUGGUUUAAUGGUUAUUAUUAUUGGACUGAUGUGCACUUCAUUUUGCUUGUUUGGAGACACAACCUGCAGGUUUGAGGUCUGUUGUAUGGCUCGACGACAAAUCGGUUUAGGGACGUUCAAGGCAUAGAGAAAUGCAUGAAAACCAAGGCACCUCUGGUUUGCUUCAAAAGCUUGAAAAGAAAACUAAGGUUGGACCGAGUAGAACGACUUUGUAUGGCUUCUUGCGCAUGGUAUCGAUCAACGACCUGGAGUGAAGUAGGGAUUGGGAUUUUUUUGGGGUUUGGGUGAAUUAAAUUUGGUCCAAACGCCAUUUGUGUAACCUGAUUCAGUGCUUGGCCAACAUACUUUUCACAAACGGAAUUGGAUGAGGUAUAUGUCAGGCUAAUUAUAGGUUCCCCGUCAAUUUCCAGCCCAAGCAAGAGCGUGACAUCUUUAAGGGUUACUGUCAUUUCACCAACAUUCAAAUGAAAAGUGUUUGUUUCUCUUCUCCUUAUUACUGAUAACAUGGCUCUGCUUGGUUUCAGUUUGGAUUAAAACAUUAACAUCUUCCAAAAUAAUCUCGCAAAUCCCGAUAACCUGAUGGUUUGAUUGAGAUUCCCAUGUUAUUUGCUUCCUUCUUAUAUUCUAAGAUUUAAUGUGUUUGGUGGUUUGAAAAUGAACUGUUAUUGCAGGAUGAUAUUGCAUCGCGUUGAGUUUUAACUGAGGUCUCUAAGCACCAUUGUCGGUUCAGGAAUUAAACCGGCAUCGAUGUGAGAUCGUGUAACCGUUUACCAUUGAUUAACAUUCCGUUUAAAUUAUCAAUUUGCAUUCUUUGCAGGUUCAGCAUUCUCAAAUUUGGCAAAGCUAAAACCUUUAGAGUGGCUAGAACCAACGGUAGCCAUUUUGUAAAACAGGAUGUGUCCAACAGUAGAAAAAGUGUCACACAAGGCCUUGGAAUCAAAUGUCUUGUCCAAAUUCUUGAUAUAAUAUUUGCGUUCAGAGCGUGAAUGUUGUCCGAAGGUGCCAACACAGCCUGUUAAACCUGAAUCUCUAGUCUUGGGAAUUAUAGAUGCAAUAAGGUUAGCAUGAGCAUCAUUCGACUCUGCAUUGUACUUGAUAAAGUCGCCCGUAGCAGCAUCAAAAUCAACACCCGAUCCAGCGGAAACCAAAUUAAUUCCAAGCACAAACAGCGAUGUUAACAACAGGACCGACUAUUAACUUAGUACUUAAAUUCAUUGCAGUAGCUUCAACAUAUUGGAUUUAACUUGUUGAAUGGUCUUUUUCUUUUGGUUUUGCAACAGCUUAGAGCGAAAUCGCAACAUGUACAAAGAUAUACGCAAAACAUACUUAAGUAUUAUGUUUUUUUGUAACUUCAUGAGUUUUCUUGUAACACAAAUAUUUAGUCAUGUUUCCUUAAAUUUGAGAGUAAAAAUCACCCACCGUACACAUUUCCACA